ensembl:lncRNA
GGGAGAUGGUUCCAGUGUCCAGGUCUUCAGGACAUUGCUCUCUUCUCACUGAUGCACAUCACAUGGUGGUCAUGGGAGGGAUGAGAUGGCAAAUCCAAGUGAUGCUGUUGCACUGAUAACCAGGAUGAUGAUGAUACUGAUGAUGAUGAUGAUGAUGGGUGCAAACAGAGGUUCUUCAGAAGAGGCAACAGAAGAAAUCACAUGUGAUGAAGGUCAUUAAGAAAUAUCAGAAAGGUCAGCACAUCUCUCUGCUCAGGAUGCUAGGAACCAGGUAGUAGCAGAUAUCUUAGAAGAUAUUUGAACACACAGUGUCUCCAAAACUUCUGUUUAUUAGUGCAUGUUUGUUUAUUAG